rnacentral:rRNA from 1 species
UACAGAGGUCCCGAGCGUUGUUCGGAUUCACUGGGCGUAAAGGGUGCGUAGGCGGUGAGGAAAGUCGGAUGUGAAAUCUCCAAGCUCAACUUGGAAAUGGCAUUGGAAACUACCUUGCUGGAGGUUUGGAGGGGGGACUGGAAUACUUGGUGUAGCAGUGAAAUGCGUAGAUAUCAAGUGGAACACCAGUGGCGAAGGCGAGUCCCUGGACAACACCUGACACUGAGGCACGAAAGCUAGGGGAGCAAACAGG